GCCAGGCAUGGUGGUGCAUGCCUGUAGUCCCAGCUACUUAGGAGGCUAAGGCUGGAGGAUUGCUUGAGCCAGGAGUUUGAGGCUGCAGUGAGCCAUUUUGCGUCACUGCACUCCAGCCUGGGCAACAGAGCGAGACCCUGACUUAA
rnacentral:sRNA from 1 species